rnacentral:rRNA from 1 species
UACGUAGGGGGCAAGCGUUAUCCGGAUUUACUGGGUGUAAAGGGAGCGUAGACGGCGAUGCAAGUCUGAAGUGAAAGGCGGGGGCCCAACCCCCGGACUGCUUUGGAAACUGUAUGGCUGGAGUGCAGGAGAGGUAAGUGGAAUUCCUAGUGUAGCGGUGAAAUGCGUAGAUAUUAGGAGGAACACCAGUGGCGAAGGCGGAUUGCUGGACAGUAACUGACGCUGAGGCGCGAAAGCGUGGGGAGCAAACAGG